rnacentral:rRNA from 1 species
AACGGAAUUUGCUUAUUGCACCACAUGUGUUUUUUAUUGAACAAAUUUCUUUGGUGGCGGGAGCAAUCCUACCGCCAGAGGUUAUAACUAAACCAAACUUUUUAUUUACAGUCAAACUUGAUUUAUUAUUACAAUAGUCAAAACUUUCAACAACGGAUCUCUUGGUUCUCGCAUCGAUGAAGAACGCAGCGAAAUGCGAUACGUAAUAUGAAUUGCAGAUAUUCGUGAAUCAUCGAAUCUUUGAACGCACAUUGCGCCCUUUGGUAUUCCAAAGGGCAUGCCUGUUUGAGCGUCAUUUCUCCCUCAAACCCCCGGGUUUGGUGUUGAGCAAUACGCUAGGUUUGUUUGAAAGAAUUUAACGUGGAAACUUAUUUUAAGCGACUUAGGUUUAUCCAAAAACGCUUAUUUUGCUAGUGGCCACCACAAUUUAUUUCAUAACUUUGACCUCAAAUCAGGUAGGACUACCCGCUGAACUUAAGCAUAUCAAUAAGCGGAGGAA